GCCAUUAUAUGUCUUUGGGCAGAUGGCAUCAUCUCCUGUAUUAAUGUGGCAUCUUGUAAUGACAGUAUUAUUUGAAUCCUCUAUGUCCAUCCCAUCAUUGUUCGGUGUAUUAAAGUCACCAUAUAUGGAAACAUCAUGAAUGGACGUGUUAUGGCAACGGACCACGUGCAAGCACCAAUAAGCAGGGUCUUGUAGCCUAAUAUUCCAAAC
rnacentral:misc_RNA from 1 species